rnacentral:rRNA from 1 species
CUACGGGGGGCUGCAGUGGGGAAUAUUGCACAAUGGGCGCAAGCCUGAUGCAGCCAUGCCGCGUGUAUGAAGAAGGCCUUCGGGUUGUAAAGUACUUUCAGCGGGGAGGAAGGGAGUAAAGUUAAUACCUUUGCUCAUUGACGUUACCCGCAGAAGAAGCACCGGCUAAGGCCGUGCCAGCAGGCCGCGGUAAUACGGAGGGUGCAAGCGUUAAUCGGAAUUACUGGGCGUAAAGCGCACGCAGGCGGUUUGUUAAGUCAGAUGUGAAAUCCCCGGGCUCAACCUGGGAACUGCAUCUGAUACUGGCAAGCUUGAGUCUCGUAGAGGGGGGUAGAAUUCCAGGUGUAGCGGUGAAAUGCGUAGAGAUCUGGAGGAGUACCGGUGGCGAAGGCGGCCCCCUGGACGAAGACUGACGCUCAGGUGCGAAAGCGUGGGGAGCAAACAGGAUUAGAUACCCUCGUAGUC